rnacentral:rRNA from 1 species
CACAGAGGGUGCGAGCGUUAAUCGGAAUUACUGGGCGUAAAGCGUGCGUAGACGGCUAUUUAAGUCGGGUGUGAAAGCCCCGGGCUCAACCUGGGAAUUGCAUUCGAGACUGAAUAGCUAGGGUACGGUAGAGGGAAGUGGAAUUUCCGGUGUAGCGGUGAAAUGCGUAGAUAUCGGAAGGAACAUCAGUGGCGAAGGCGGAUCUCUGGGCCAUUACUGACGCUGAGGAGCGAAAGCGUGGGGAGCGAACAGG